UACGUAGGGGGCGAGCGUUGUCCGGAAUUAUUGGGCGUAAAGAGCGUGUAGGCGGCCAGGUAGGUCUGCUGUGAAAACUCGAGGCUUAACCUCGAGCUGUCGGCGGAAACCAUCUGGCUAGAGUCCGGAAGAGGAGAAUGGAAUUCCCGGUGUAGCGGUGAAAUGCGCAGAUAUCGGGAAGAACACCCGUGGCGAAGGCGGUUCUCUGGGACGGUACUGACGCUGAGACGCGAAAGCGUGGGGAGCGAACAGG
rnacentral:rRNA from 1 species